UACGUAGGUGGCAAGCGUUGUCCGGAUUUAUUGGGCGUAAAGCGCGCGCAGGUGGUGCGGUAAGUCUGCCGGUGAAAUCUCCCGGCUCAACUGGGAGGGGCGGUGGAGACUGCCGGACUGGAGGGACUCAGAGGCCGGUGGAAUUCCCGGUGUAGUGGUGAAAUGCGUAGAGAUCGGGAGGAACACCAGUGGCGAAGGCGGCCGGCUGGGGGUGCCCUGACGCUGAGGCGCGAAAGCGUGGGGAGCGAACCGGG
rnacentral:rRNA from 1 species